ACUCUUAAAAAUUAAAGUACCAUGAUCAGGAAGGUGGUUUACCCAAUGCAAGGCUUAUCCAUGGCACUUUGGAUGUGCUGACUUCUGUGAUUUCCUCGAAUGUGUCCUCAACUGCAUAAUUUGUGGUAGUGGGGGACUGAGUUUGCGCUUUCCCAAA
ensembl:snRNA U1 U1 spliceosomal RNA